CUCAUGGCUCGGAGUGGCCUACCUCCACCAUGUUCGCGGUCUUUGGAGCCACAGGCUUCGAUGCCCAAUGAGGCAGUGCGGCGGCCAGUCUGUGUGCAGGGAACUUCGCCGGAGAGAGAGAGACAAAUCCUGAAGUCAAAUUUCCCUGCCUGUUGUGAGCUAGGUCCAAUCUUGCGUUUUGUUCUGUAUAUAUGUCGAACGUUGCUGGUCGGUAUUCCAGCCGGAAGCCUGAGCAGAGUGACCGGGCGUAACGGAUCACGCGGUUUAGGUCUUCAUAAUUCCAGAUGGUUUACCUGGCAGGAAAUUGGCAGACAGAAUGUGAAUCCUGAGCGCAUCUUCCGCUUGCGGAGGAUCGCAAGUUGAGGGCGAUUGAAGACAAAGGGCCGAGGGGUUGCGUAACUUGUACUGAAGAGGUAAGAAGAGUCAGGUGGGCUGAGCGUGCAGACGAAUAAUAUCCAGAAAGUUCCUUUGUUUUGUCUUGCCUUGACCAUUGCUGCAUAAAGACAGGAAGAUCUCUCCGGGGAACCGGACGUUUUCAUCUGAAGCCAUUCGGAACAUUAAUCGCGCCCUCAGCACUUCGCAGCUCGCGGUUCUCCGCUCGUCUGUCGGAGCGAAAUCCUCGUCGCUCCGGUUUCCAGUCAACCUUCUUGAGCCAGUUUGUCCCUCUCGUGUCGUUUCUCUGCCGCAACUCGAAUUAAUCUCAGUGUCACCUGCGUGCAACCAUAAAUCGCGCGUGACUUUGUGUAUUGUUUACUGUGCCAUCCUGUUUCGACGUCACCCUGUUCAAUACUGGCGUUUGUGCGGGCGGAGGUGGCGUCAGUAAACGUCAUUACAAAACACAUAAUAGGAGAAAAGAGAAAGAGGUGAGUGACGGUAUUAUUACGGCCCCCAUUCAAAUUAAGUUGGUCUCUGAAAGUCCUUUGAGGUCUUGUUGUCAUAUAUAAAU